GAUGAACGCUGGCGGCGUGCCUAAUACAUGCAAGUCGAGCGAAUGGGUUAAGAGCUUGCUCUUAUGAAGUUAGCGGCGGACGGGUGAGUAACACGUGGGUAACCUGCCCAUAAGACUGGGAUAACUCCGGGAAACCGGGGCUAAUACCGGAUAACAUUUUGAACCGCAUGGUUCGAAAUUGAAAGGCGGCUUCGGCUGUCACUUAUGGAUGGACCCGCGUCGCAUUAGCUAGUUGGUGAGGUAACGGCUCCCCAAGGCAACGAUGCGUAGCCGGCCUGAGAGGGUGAUCGGCCACACGGGGACUGAGACACGGCCCAGACUCCUACGGGAGGCGGCAGUAGGGAAUCUUCCGCAAUGGACGAAAGUCUGACGGAGCAACGCCGCGUGAGUGAUGAAGGCUUUCGGGUCGUAAAACUCUGUUGUUAGGGAAGAACAAGUGCUAGUUGAAUAAGCUGGCACCUUGACGGUACCUAACCAGAAAGCCACGGCUAACUACGUGCCAGCCGCCGCCGUAA
rnacentral:rRNA from 1 species